AACGAACGCUGGCGGCAUGCCUAACACAUGCAAGUCGAACGGGAUCCUAGCUUGCUAGGUGAGAGUGGCGGACGGGUGAGUAACACGUGGGAAUCUGCCUUUUGGUUCGGGAUAACCGCGGGAAACUGCGGCUAAUACCGAAUGCCCUCGAGAGAGGAAAGAUUUAUCGCCAGAAGAGGAGCCCGCGUCCGAUUAGGUAGUUGGUGGGGUAAAGGCCUACCAAGCCGACGAUCGGUAGCUGGUCUGAGAGGAUGAUCAGCCACACUGGGACUGAGAUACGGCCCAGACUCCUACGGGAGGCAGCAGUGGGGAAUAUUAGGACAAUGGGGGCAACCCUGAUCCAGCAAUGCCGCGUGAGUGAU
rnacentral:rRNA from 1 species